AUGGAGUCCUCACGCGGCAUCCUCAUCCCCGGCACGCCGCCGCUGCCCUACGCGUACGAGCCGCUGCCCUCCUCCUCUGCCGACGCCAACGGCCAGGAGGACCGGCGAACCAGCGGCGGCGUCAGGUGGCGCUCGUGGGCCACCGUGCUGGCCGUGGUGGCGCUCGUCGUCGUCGCCGCGGUCUUUGGGGCCAGCAGGGUCGACCGGGACGCGGUGGUCUCCUCCGCGUCGGCUACGGCGGUCCACGGCGUGUCCGGGGCAUAUUCCUCCCACGGCGGCUUCCCGUGGAGCAACGCCAUGCUGGGGUGGCAGCGCACCGGCUACCAUUUCCAGCCGGAGAAGAACUACCAGAACGAUCCCAACGGUCCGGUGUACUACAAAGGAUGGUACCACUUCUUCUACCAGCACAACCCGGGGGGCACCGGGUGGGGCAACAUCUCAUGGGGCCAUGCCGUGUCGCGGGACAUGGUCCACUGGCGUCACCUACCGCUCGCCAUGGUGCCCGAGCACUGGUACGACAUCGAGGGCGUCCUCACCGGAUCCAUCACCGUGCUCCCCGACGGCAGGGUCAUCCUGCUCUACACGGGGAACACCGAGACGUUUGCGCAGGUGACCUGCCUCGCGGAGGCCGCCGACCCAAGCGACCCCCUCCUCCGUGAGUGGGUCAAGCACCCCGCCAACCCCGUCGUGUACCCGCCCCCUGGCAUCGGCAUGAAGGACUACCGUGACCCAACCACGGCGUGGUUCGACAACUCCGACAACACGUGGCGCAUCAUCAUUGGCUCCAAGAACGACACGGACCACUCCGGCAUCGUCUUCACGUACAAGACCAAGGACUUCGUCAGCUACGAGUUGAUACCGGGGUACUUGUACCGCGGGCCCGCCGGCACCGGCAUGUACGAGUGCAUCGACAUGUUCGCCGUCGGCGGUGGCCGCAAGGCCAGCGACAUGUACAAUUCGACGGCCAAGGACGUGCUGUACGUGCUCAAGGAGAGCAGCGACGACGACCGGCGCGACUAUUACGCGCUCGGGAGGUUCGACGCGGCGGCCAACACAUGGACGCCGAUCGACACCGAGCGGGAACUCGGCGUCGCGCUGCGGUACGACUAUGGCAGGUACGACGCGUCCAAGUCCUUCUACGACCCCGUGAAGGAGCGGCGGAUCGUCUGGGGGUACGUCGUCGAGACCGACUCCUGGAGUGCCGAUGCGGCCAAGGGGUGGGCCAACCUUCAGUCGAUUCCGAGAACGGUGGAGCUUGACGAGAAGACCCGGACAAACCUCAUCCAAUGGCCGGUGGAGGAGCUCGAUACCCUCCGCAUCAACACCACCGAUCUCAGCGGUAUCACUGUCGGUGCCGGAUCCGUCGUCUCCCUCCCCCUCCACCAGACCUCCCAACUCGACAUCGAGGCAUCCUUCCGCAUCAACGCCUCCGUCAUCGAGGCCCUCAAUGAGGUCGACGUCAGCUACAACUGCACCAUGACCAGCGGCGCCGCCACCCGCGGCGCGCUCGGCCCCUUCGGCAUUCUCGUCCUCGCCAACGCCGCCCUGACAGAACAGACGGCGGUGUACUUUUAUGUGUCCAAGGGCCUCGACGGCGUUCUUCGAACGCACUUCUGCCACGAUGAGUUGCGGUCGACGCAUGCCACUGAUGUGGCGAAGGAGGUGGUGGGUAGCACGGUGCCGGUGCUCGACGGCGAGGAUUUUUCCGUUAGGGUGCUCGUGGACCACUCCAUCGUGCAGAGCUUCGUCAUGGGCGGGAGGAUGACGGCGACGUCGAGGGCGUACCCGACGGAGGCCAUUUACGCGGCGGCGGGGGUCUACCUGUUCAACAAUGCCACCAGCGCCACCAUCACCGCUGAGAAGCUCAUUGUGCACGACAUGGAUUCGUCGUACAACCGGAUAUUCACGGACGCCGACUUGGUAGUCCUCGAUUAG
rnacentral:rRNA from 1 species